UACGUAGGGACCGAGCGUUGUCCGGAAUCAUUGGGCGUAAAGAGCGUGUAGGCGGCCACUUAAGUCCUGCGUGAAAUCUUGCGGCUCAACCGCAAGCGGUCGUGGGAAACUGGGUGGCUAGAGUGCGGGAGAGGAGAGUGGAAUUCCUGGUGUAGCGGUGGAAUGCGCAGAUAUCAGGAAGAACACCCGUGGCGAAGGCGGCUCUCUGGAACGCAACUGACGCUGAGACGCGAAAGCAUGGGGAGCGAACAGG
rnacentral:rRNA from 1 species